CGAGCGGAUGAAGGGAGCUUGCUCCUGGAUUCAGCGGCGGACGGGUGAGUAAUGCCUAGGAAUCUGCCUGGUAGUGGGGGAUAACGUCCGGAAACGGGCGCUAAUACCGCAUACGUCCUGAGGGAGAAAGUGGGGGAUCUUCGGACCUCACGCUAUCAGAUGAGCCUAGGUCGGAUUAGCUAGUUGGUGGGGUAAAGGCCUACCAAGGCGACGAUCCGUAACUGGUCUGAGAGGAUGAUCAGUCACACUGGAACUGAGACACGGUCCAGACUCCUACGGGAGGCAGCAGUGGGGAAUAUUGGACAAUGGGCGAAAGCCUGAUCCAGCCAUGCCGCGUGUGUGAAGAAGGUCUUCGGAUUGUAAAGCACUUUAAGUUGGGAGGAAGGGCAGUAAGUUAAUACCUUGCUGUUUUGACGUUACCAACAGAAUAAGCACCGGCUAACUUCGUGCCAGCAGCCGCGGUAAUACGAAGGGUGCAAGCGUUAAUCGGAAUUACUGGGCGUAAAGCGCGCGUAGGUGGUUCAGCAAGUUGGAUGUGAAAUCCCCGGGCUCAACCUGGGAACUGCAUCCAAAACUACUGAGCUAGAGUACGGUAGAGGGUGGUGGAAUUUCCUGUGUAGCGGUGAAAUGCGUAGAUAUAGGAAGGACACCAGUGGCGAAGGCGACCACCUGGACUGAUACUG
rnacentral:rRNA from 1 species